rnacentral:rRNA from 1 species
GACGAACCGUCCGAACGUUAUUCGGAAUCACUGGGCUUGAAGGGCGCGUAGGCGGAUAUCUAAGUUGGGGGUGAAAUCCCGGGGCUCAACCUCGGAAUUGCCUUCAAAACUGGAUAUCUUGAGUUCGGGAGAGGUGAGUGGAACUCCGAGUGUAGAGGUGAAAUUCGUAGAUAUUCGGAAGAACACCAGUGGCGAAGGCGACUCACUGGCCCGAUACUGACGCUGAGGCACGAAAGCGUGGGGAGCAAACAGG